rnacentral:rRNA from 1 species
CCUACGGGGGGCAGCAGUGAGGAAUAUUGGUCAAUGGGCUUACGCCUGAACCAGCCAAGUCGCGUGAGGGAAGACUGCCCUAUGGGUUGUAAACCUCUUUUGUCAGGGAGCAACGCCAGCUACGUGUAGCCGGACUGAGAGUACCCGAAGAAAAAGCAUCGGCUAACUCCGUGCCAGCAGCCGCGGUAAUACGGAGGAUGCGAGCGUUAUCCGGAUUUAUUGGGUUUAAAGGGUGCGUAGUCGGAAUGCCAAGUCAGCGUUACAAUCGCGGGGCUCAACCUCGCUCCGCCGUUGAAACUGGCGUU